rnacentral:rRNA from 1 species
AAAUGAAUUGACGGGCACCCGCACAAGCGGUGGAGCAUGCUGUUUAAUUCGAAGAUACGCGAAGAACCUUACCUAGAUUUGACAUCCCUGGCAAAGCUAUAGAAAUAUAGUGGAGGCUAUCCGGGUGACAGGUGGUGCAUGGUUGUCGUCAGCUCGUGUCGUGAGAUGUUUGGUUAAGUCCAAUAACGAGCGCAACCCUCGUCUUUAGUUGCUAACAUUUAGUUGAGUUCUCUAAAGAUACUGCCAGUGCAAGCUGGAGGAAGGUGGGGAUGACGUCAAAUCAUCAUGCCCCUUACAUCUAGGGCUACAGGCGUGCUACAAUGGCCGAUACAACGAGUCGCAACACGGUGACGUGAAGCUAAUCUCUUAAAGUCGGUCUCAGUCCGGAUUGGAGUCUGCAACUCGACUCCAUGAAGUUGGAAUCGCUAGUAAUCCCAAAUCAGAAUGUUGGGGUGAAUACGUUCCCGGGUGUUGCACACACCGCCCGU